GGUAACGUGGCCGAGUGGUCUAAGGCGUUGGAUUUAAGCAUUGAUUCAUAUGAAUCACGUAUCCCAAUACGCGAGAGCGUGCGAGGGUUCGAACCCCUCCGUUACCA